rnacentral:rRNA from 1 species
UGGGGAAUAUUGCACAAUGGGGGAAACCCUGAUGCAGCGACGCCGCGUGAGCGAAGAAGGCCUUCGGGUCGUAAAGCUCUUUUAUGAGGGAAGAUAAUGACGGUACCUCAAGAAAAAGCCCCGGCUAACUACGUGCCAGCAGCCGCGGUAAUACGUAGGGGGCUAGCGUUGUCCGGAAUCACUGGGCGUAAAGGGUUCGCAGGCGGAAUAACAAGUCAGAUGUGAAAGGCAUGGGCUCAACCCAUGUAAGCAUUUGAAACUGUAAUUCUUGAGAAGUGGAGAGGUAAGUGGAAUUCCUAGUGUAGCGGUGAGAUGCGUAGAUAUUAGGAGGAAUACCUGUGGCGAAGGCGACUUACUGGACACAAAUCUGACGCUGAGGAACGAAAGCGUGGGUAGCAAACAGG